rnacentral:rRNA from 1 species
UUUAAAUAUUAUAAAAAAAAUUAGAGUAGUAAUAGAUAUGAUCUUAAAACUUAAAAAAUUUGGCGGUAUUUUAUUCUUUUUAGAGGAACUUGUUUUAUAAUCGAUAAUCCUCGUUAAAUCUUACUUAAUUUUGUUUAAUUUGUAUAUCGUUGUCAUAAGAAUAUCUUAAAAAAGGAAUAAUUUUCUAGUUUAAUAAAUAUUUUAGAUGUCAGAUCAAGGUGCAGUUUAUAAUUAAGAAAAAAUGAGUUACAAUUAAUUUAUAAUUAAUAAUGGAUUGAAAUUUUUAAUAAUUUUAUGAAGGUGGAUUUAAUAGUAAAUUUUAAAAUAAAUUAAAGUUGAU